rnacentral:autocatalytically_spliced_intron from 1 species
GGCGGGGUAAUCUCCCCUGUACUUGCUAACUUGACCCUUGAUGGUUUCGAAAAUGUUAUCAGUAAACAUUUCGGGAACAAGAAAACGCAAGAAAUAUGGUGUGCACGUGAUUCGCUACGCGGAUGACUUCAUAGUAACUGGAAAAUCAAAAGAAAUUCUUGAGACUAAAGUUAAAAGGCUAGUAGAGGAUUUCCUCAGCGACAGAGGGUUAACUCUAUCCACAGGAAAAACCAAGAUCACACACGUAGAACAGGGAUUUGAUUUUCUAGGUCAGACAGUACGAAAGGAAGAUAAUCAUCAAACCUUCAGCAGAAAGUACAAACCGACUUCUGAAGCGCAUCCGGUGCUUGAUUCGUAAGAACUGCGCAGCAACCCAAGAAAAAGUAAUAGAACUGCUCACACCUCAAAUUCGAGGGUGGGUCUAUUACCACAGGGGAAUAUGCGCAAGAAAAGCUUAUGAGAAAGUGGAUUCUGAGAUUUUUAAAGCCUUAUGGCAAUGGUCAAAACGCAGACACCCUAAUAAAGGCUUACGCUGGAUUAAGGAGAAAUACUUUAAAACAAAAGAAGCCAGAAGAUGGUGCUUUGCAGCGCUGACUAAGAAUAAAGGUACAGUUGAGUGGAAGGAACUCUUUCAAGCAACAAGCGUACCAAUUCGUCGCCACAAGAAAAUUCAAGCUGAGGCAAAUCCCUACGAUAAAGAAUGGUAUGCCUACUUUGAAAAACGUAGAUCAAAUAAUCCUUCUCUUUAUGAGGAUGAUAAGAUAUGAUUAAUGUUAAUCCUAGUAAGGAAUUUGAAAUGCCAGAAUAUUUGAAGGAAGCUGUUGCCGGUUCUCGAGAAAAGGACUUAAGAUGGCUCGAGCCGUAUGAAGGGAAACUUUCAAGUACGGUUCCUAGAGGAGAGUUUAGUGGAAAAUAUCUCAGUCCACUAAAC